GAGCCGUUAGCUCAGUCGGUAGAGCAUCUGACUUUUAAUCAGAGGGUCGCUGGUUCGAACCCAGCACGGCUCA
rnacentral:tRNA from 1 species